rnacentral:lncRNA from 1 species
CCGCAGGCAGCUGUCGCACGCGCGCGCCGCCUUGCCGCCCACGGCCCCGGCCGCCUUCGCCGAGCUGCAGCUCAUGCGUGCGCGCGCGCUGCCACGACGAAAACCAAGCGAACAACAACAAUGAUCGAUCCCACCACAAAACCUCAACAAAAAUUGUAUCCAAGUUUCCAGCUCGCUUUGCACUCGAUCUUGUACAAACUACCAAAGUGUACACAGCUACUGCGCGAGUAGCGACGAGGGCAAGAGUGUGAUAGCACCAAAACUGAAGAAAGUAUCACUGGAUAAGGGCUACUACUAAACUUUGAGUUGAGACCUGAGCGAUAUGCCCAAGUGUUGCUCUUUUCUGGUGGAUCUUUGCACUUUUG